GAGGCUAUAGCUCAGUGGUAGAGCGCACGCUUACCGUGUAUGAGGUCCUGGAUUCAAUCCCCAGUACCUAUA
rnacentral:tRNA from 1 species